GACGAACGCUGGCGGCGUGCUUAACACAUGCAAGUCGAACGGAGUGGCGAACGGGUGAGUAUUACGUGAGUAACCUGCCCUCAACUGGGGGAUAAGCCUGGGAAACUGGGUCUAAUACUGCAUAGUUGGGGAUGGGCUCGCGGCCUAUCAGCUUGUUGGUGGGGUGCUGGCCUACCAAGGCGGUGACGGGUAGCCGGCCUGAGAGGGUGGUCGGCACCAUGGGGGCUGGGAUACGGCCCAGAGUCCUACGGGAGGCAGCAGUGGGGGAUAUGGCACAAUGGGCGCGAGCCUGAGGCGGCGACGCCGCGUGGGGAAUGAAGGCUUGCGGGUUGUAAACCGCUUUCGGUACAGAUCCGGUAUGUGCAGAAGAAGCGCCGGCUAACUACGUGCCAGCAGCCGCGGUAAUUC
rnacentral:rRNA from 1 species